rnacentral:lncRNA from 1 species
ACCCUCAGUGCAGGUGAAGGCAGCUAGGGAGCUGUGGGCUGUCUGGGAAAUGUACAGCUAUCAAAUCAGCCUAAUGUCUCCCAGGGAUGGGGGGGUCCCCCUCUGCUGACUAUUCCAGUAACAUCUGGCUUGAAUUUGGCCUGACUCUCUGGGCCAGUUGGCUGCUGUCCUGCCCCCCACUGCCCUGCCCAUCCAUCUUCCCACCCACCUCCGGGUGGGCUCAGCCCCCACAGAGGGCCUUGCUGCUAUUGGGACUGGCUUCCCCAGGGGCCCUACAUGAUUGCUGGCUCAGGGGAGGGGGCAGAACCCAAAGUGUCCCCCUAGAAGCACAGGGAGGCACUGUCUCCCAUGGCUGGCUCACGAGAACAACCCUCUGGUGAGGAGAGCUGGAGAGCAAGCUUUCCACAGCCCGCCCGCCUCGGCCUCACUCCAGCCCCCAGCUCCCAAAUGGCGGCCAUGGGUGAGGCCAAGAGGGGAAAAUAACAGUCAUCCGGAGAAAACUGCAGCCCAAGGCAUCUCUCUUCCCAGCUUCCUCUAAGAGCUGAGCUGGGAGUGUCAGGGAAAUUUGGGGCCCACUCAGCCCCUCCUGGGAAUGAAGAAGACCAUGAUUUUCCUCCCCUCACCGAUUGCCCCCUCCCUGCCACUGAUCCAUUUUGCCAAGUGGCAGGUACUCACAAAGCGUGAGUGGUGCCCCCAUCAGAAAAGGUCCCUCCAACAAACAGGAGGACAACAAAGUGAGUGAUGGGGAAAAUGAGGCCCUGAGGGGGAGAGUCAGAGACAAACUGGCUGGGCCUUGCUCCCCAGACUCCCAGGUAAGGUCCCUCCUACCACCUCACCCCCACACCCUCCAGAGCAUCCUUGCUCCCUCUGGUCUGGUCUUCUAGCAUGGCGCUGGGGCUGGACUGGGCUCCUGGCAAAUGGGUACCACCACAGUCUGCACACGGAGGCAGGAGCUCUGGUGCCAAGCCUUCCCGCUUCUGCUGUCUUGACGGGUGACCGCAGGCAAUCCGCUCAGCUGUCCUGGCUCUUCUUCAAUCUCGGUAAAAUCGGAAGCAGCGUGGAGUAGGGAAUAGUGCCGUGGCCUCCAGAGAGGUCUGGUCUUAAUGGGCAUCAAGGAACCAACCUAUCUCUCGACCUCAGUGUCCACAUCUGUAAAAUGGGAGAGCCAACUGGGAGACCACUUCGGGCCCUAUGCUGCCACCACAGCAGCCCCACCUGGAACUUAGUCUUUCUUACUUGGAGGGCAGGGGCUGGAUCGAAUUCAGCUUUUCCUCCUGGGUCUCAGCACAAUGCCUAGCACACGUCAGAAACAUGUGAGAGCUCGACGACCUUCCUGGAAGGGGCUGGAGAACAACCUCUGACCUAUCUCACUCAAGUCAGGGGGCUCUGCCUGACGAUCCAGAAGUUCCGUCCUAUCCUUCCUGCCACUCCUGUGGCUCUGCUUUGAGCCUAGCUCCCUGAGGCUGAUGUCUUUACAGAGCAGAACUCACACUUUCUUCACACACAUCACAAGCCCAGCUCACCCGUUUUGCAUUUGGCCUCAGAGUUUGUUGUGAGGGCUUCUAGGAAAUCAGCAAUGAGUGAGUCUAAUAAUUGCUUGUUCUUGGAAAUCUCCUAAAAUAACUUGGCCAAAUGAGGGUGGGGCGAGGCAGGCCAGGCAGUCCUCUAAGAUGAAUUUCUCCUCCAUCCCACCCCAGGUCUCGAGUUCCAGUUACUCAUCAAAGAAGUUUUUGUGUGCAUAGUUCCAAAUUCUAAUGAAUUUCCAGGAAAUGUCACCAAAAUGAUGUUGGCAUUGCUAGGAUGUGUUUUUCAAGAACUCGUUAGCUGCUCCCUUUUCCUGCAGAUUCCAACUGCAUAAACUAAGUCAGUUUCUGGGAUGUAUUAUUGUAGCUGUGUGCCUGAAUGGCAUAACUGAUGAUAUCGGAUUCUCAGAACCUCCUGGUCUCGAGAUUUCAGAGUCAGUACAUCCAGAAUAAUACUCAGCAGCCUCUCCUCCCAAAGUCUAUACUUUUCAUCGCUUUGACGCUAGCUACCCAUGACCUUCUUAUGGUUUCCGAGCAAGUCAAUAUAUUUGGCCUUAUUUCUUUAAUUGUUAUCUCUAUCUGGCUUAGUGGAUGGUCUGGUGUCAACCAAGUUCCUGAAAGACCACAGAUACAGUCAAGGUGCUUGGGGCAGGGUCCCAGCCCAAGACGCGGCUGCAUCUCGGAAGCUGCCAUUUUGUCCCCAUUUAUUUGAGGGCCUCCUUUGCCGUCCGUACCAUCUUCACUCAUGUCGCAAUGGCCUGGCCCUCUCCCAGUCCCAACCUCGAUGAACUUCCGUUGCUGGAAAGAGGCAACCAGAUCUGAGCAGCCCCAAGGUCGCGGCUUCACGCCGGGCUGGCGAGUGGGCGGUUAGCACCUUCCCCUGGGAGAGGAGCUAAGCCGCAGAAACAAGCUUGGGUUACAUUCCAGGGUCCAGCCAAUUGGCAGCCCCGUGGAUCAAGGCUGGUGUGCAGCCAGUCAUGAGUCCAGCACAACUAAAAGGCAUAAAACAGCACUCUGCUACAGAGAAACAUACUCAUGGACAGGCUUCAUCAGCGAUGCCCCACCCACAAUCCACGACUGUGCUCUCCCUAAGACUCUUCCCUCCAGCCAAGAGUCCCCACUCCACAUUGUUCCUUAUGUAUCUAGAACCCAGCCUCAUGCAGGGGUCAAAUGCUACCUCCGGGGAUGCUAGUCAGGAGCACUGCAGGCCAUGGGUGGAGAGCAGUGUCCUCUGCCAUCUCCACUCUCAAGUCAAACCUCAGCCACACCCAGUACGGUCCAGCCAAGUCCACGGUCUUGAGGCUGUCUCAGCAGUUCUGCAUGUCUGAGCUUCAUCUGAGGCUGGAGCUGGGGUCUCAGCUCUGGAACAUCAAGAAGGCCUCUCAUCACGGACAUUGGAGCUUCACUGGAGGCUGGAGCUUGGGUCUCGGCUCUGGAACAUCAAGGAGGCCUCUCAUCAUGGACAUCUGAACUUCAUUGGAGACUGGAGUUGGGUCUCAGCUCUGGAACAUCAAGGAGGCCUCUCAUCACGGACAUCAGAGCUUCACCAGAGGCUGGAGCUGGGGUCUCAGCUCUGGAACAUCAAGGAGGCCUCUCAUCAUGGACAUCGGAGCUUCACUGGAGGUCAGAGCUGGGGUCUCGGCUUUGGAACAUCAAGAAGGCCUCUCACCAUGGACAUCUGAGCUUCACCAGAGGCCAGAGCUGGGGUCUUGGCUCCAGAACAUCAAGGAGGCCUCUCAUCAUGGACAUCUGAGCUUUACCAGAGGCUGGAGCUGGGGUCUCGGCUCUGGAACUUCAAGGAGGUCUCUCAUCAUGAACAUCUGAGCUUCACUAGAGGCUGGAGCUGGGAUCUCGGCUCUGGAACAUCAAGGAGGCCUCUCAUCAUGGACAUCUGAGCUUCACCGGAGGCCGGAGCUGGAGUCUUGGCUCUAGAACAUCAAGGAGACCUCUCAUCAUGGACAUCUGAGCUUCACCGUAGGCUGGAGCUGGGGUCUUGGCUCUAGAACAUCAAGGAGACCUCUCAUCAUGGCCAUCUGAGCUUCACCAGAGGCUGGAGCUGGAGUCUCGGCUCUGGAACAUCACGGAGGCUCUCAUCAUGGACAUCUGAGCUUCACCGGAGGCCGCAGCUGGCGUCUCGGCUCUGGAACAUCAAGGAAGUCUCUCAUCGUGGACAUUGGAGCUUCACCAGAGGCUGGAGCUGGGGUCUUGGCUCUAGACCAUCAAGGAGGCCUCUCAUCACGGACAUCAGAGCUUCACCGGAGGCUGCAGCUGGAGUCUCGGCUCUGGAACAUCAAGGAGGCCUCUCAUCAUGGACAUCAGAGCUUCACCGGAGGCUGGAGCUGCAGUCUCGGCUCUGGAACAUCAAGGAGGCCUCUCAUCAUGGACAUCAGAGCUUCACCGGAGACUGCAGGUGGAGUCUUGGCUCUGGAACAUCAAGGAGGCCUCUCAUCAUGGACAUCAGAGCUUCACCGGAGGCUGGAGCUGGAGUCUCGGCUCUGGAACAUCAAGGAGGCCUCUCAUCAUGGACAUCUGAGCUUCACCGGAGGCUGGAGCUGGAGUCUCGGCUCUGGGAAAUCAAGGAGGCCUCUCAUCAUAGACAUCUGAGCUUCACCAGAGGCCGGAGCUGGAGUCUCAGCUCUGGAACAUCAAGGAGGCCUCCCACCAUGGACAUCAGAGCUUCACCGGAGGCUGGAGCUGGGGUCUCGGCUCUAGAACAUCAAGCAGGCCUCUUACGAUGGACAGCUGGGCUUCACUGGAGGCUGGAGCUGGGGUCUUGGCUCUAGAACAUCAAGGAGGCCUCUCAUCAUGGCCAUGUGUGCUUCACUGGAGGCUGGAGCUGGGGUCUCGGCUCUGGAACAUCAAGGAGGGCUCUCAUCAUGGACAUCUGAGCUUCACCGGAGGCCGGAGCUGUGGUCUUGGCUCUGGGACUUUGAGAGAACCCUCAUUCUGGAUGUCCAAGUUUCAUCAAGGGCUGGAGCUGGGACCUCAGCUCUGGAACUUCAAGGGGGCCCUCAUUCUGGAUGCCUGAGCUUCAUGAGAGGCCCGGGGUCUGCCCACCAGAGUCAGGACUUUCCUGGACCCUCAGCACCAUCUUGG